CUCAGUCCCUGCAGCAUCCCCCUGCCUGUCGCCAUGGCCGCCUACAAGCUAAUGCUGAUCUAACAUGGCGCUCUCACCUGGAACCUGGAGAACGCUGGUACCACGCCGACCUGAGCCCGGCGGGCCACGAGGAGGCGAAGCGCGGCAGACAGGUGUUGCGAGAUGCUGGCUAUGAAUUUGACAUCUGCUUCACCUCCGUGCAGAAGAAAGCCAUCCGGACCCUCUGGACAGUCCUGGAUGCCAUUGACCAGAUGUGGCUGCCAGUAGUCAGGACUUGGCGCCUCAAUGAGCGACACUAUGGGGGUCUGACUGGUCUCAAUAAAGCAGAAACUGCUAAGUACGGUGAGGCACAGGUAAGAUCUGGAGGUGAUGUCCCACCACCUCCGAUGGAGCCUGAUCAUCCCUUCUACAGCAACAUCAGCAAGGAUCGCAGGUACGCAGACCUUACUGAAGACCAGCUGCCCUCCUGUGAGAGCCUGAAGGACACUAUUGCCAGGGCACGGCCCUUCUGGAAUGAAGAAAUUGUCUCCCAGAUCAAGGAGGGGAAGAGUCCUGAUGGCAGCCCAUGGCAACAGCCUUCGGGGCAUCAUCAAGCAUUUGGAGGGUCUCUCAGAAGAGGCCAUCAUGGAGCUGAACCUGCCGACUGGCAUCUCCAUUGUCUAUGAAUUGGACAAGAACUUGAAGCCUGUCAAACCCAUGCAGUUCCUGGAGAUGAAGAGACCGUGCGGAAAGCCAUGGAAGCUGUGGCCGCUCAGGGGAGGGUCAAGAAGUGAAGGCCAGCAGGCCGAAUCCUACCCCAGUACCCUCCUCCCUGCCUGUUUAUGCCUCCGGCACCCUUCCCCAACACCUGUCACGCUGACUACAUCUGUAGGAUCUUAAGUUUAGGUGGUAGCUGCAA